rnacentral:rRNA from 1 species
GACGGAGGAUGCAAGCGUUAUCCGGUAUUAUUGGGCGUAAAGCGUCCGCAGGUGGCUGUUCAAGUCUGCUGUCAAAGCGCAGAGCUUAACUCUGUACAGGCGGUGGAAACUGAAGAGCUAGAGUAUGGUAGGGGUAGAGGGAAUUCCCGGUGUAGCGGUGAAAUGCGUAGAUAUCGGGAAGAACACCAGUGGCGAAAGCGCUCUACUGGGCCAUAACUGACACUGAGGGACGAAAGCUAGGGGAGCGAAAGGG